CUUCAUUAAACGCUUGGUUCCCGUUCCGGUCGUAGGCGGCCCAGAUGUUACUGGCUAUGGCAGCGGUGACCCGGGCGUCAGUGUCCCCGUAACCAGAGUAGGCCAGCAGUGAUCCCUCGUUAUUCAGCAGCAGGGUGCUCUGGACGCCUCCAGUGUUGGCUUGGCUUAGCACCUGGGUCAAAGCCUUGGGGCGCAGCAUGCCUACGGUUCCUAACCCUGGGCUUUUGCACCCAGAUCUCCG
rnacentral:lncRNA from 1 species